rnacentral:lncRNA from 1 species
CAAUUUUUCAUGGUCCCAAAAUAUGCCUUUCCUUGCAGAAAAUACCUGAGUAUUCUGUCACACUGCAUAAUCCGACCUUUUUGUUCUGGUCCAUAGAGUGUCGGAUAACACAGGUUACACUGUAUUACACAACGUUCAGUAAAAAGCAAAACUGCUAUACCCUCAUCCUCCCUAAUCAAGUCGUUACCUUAAUACUGCCCAGCCUUACAGUAUUAUGAUAUUUAUUGUAAAAUAUCGUUUUGUCAUAAGCAUUUAUCAAAUUUCAGUUUUCAGAAACUUGUUCUACGAUUUACUUAAAUAUUACUAACGUUUUGAUGUUCAUGCAGGAUGCCAUUUUCACACCUAAAGAGAUAAAUAUAUUUUGUAUUUCCCCAAGUUUUUUUCUCACAUUUACCACUGUUACAUACAACGAUAUUCAGAUAAAUGGUCAACAUCCUUUCAUUUCUGAUCGGCCUUGGCGAUAAGUGGCCUUGUAGUUCAACUUCCGUAAUCACUAGCCAGUCAACACGGAGUACUCCAGCUUCCACAAUCAAUAAAAACUGACCACCAUUAAAUAGCACAAUAGUACUCGAAAUUGUAUUAAACAACAAUCAUACCGUUUAAAGGUGACCAUAUUUGAAUUAAAUAUUUAUCAGAGUAUGUCUGUGGUUAUACAUUAUGAUGAAAU